rnacentral:rRNA from 1 species
GGCGAUCAGAUACCGCCCUAGUUCUGACCGUAAACGAUGCCAACUCGCGAUCCGCCGGCGGAGCAUUUCGCCCUGGUGGGGAGCGUCCCGGAAACGAAAGUCUUCCGGUUCCGGGGGAAGUAUGGUUGCAAAGCUGAAACUUAAAGGAAUUGACGGAAGGGCACCACCAGGAGUGGAGCCUGCGGCUUAAUUUGACUCAACGCGAGGAACCUCACCCGGCCCGGACACCGUAAGGAUUGACCGAUCGACAGCUCAUUCAUGAUUCGGUGGUUGGUGGUGCAUGGCCGUUCUUAGUUCGUGGAUUUGAUCUGUCUGCUUUAUUGCGAUAACCGAGCGAGACCCACGCCUGCUAACUAGUCAGUGCAUUGCCAUUGUGCGCGCCGACUUCUUAGAGGGAUUCGCGGUGUUCAGCCGUUUGAAAGUGGGCAAUAACAGGUCUGUGAUGCCCUUAGAUGUCCGGGGCUGCACGCGGGCUACACUGGCAAAACCAGCGUGCUUGUCCUGCCUCGAAGGAGGUGGGUAAACCCGGCAAAAUUUGCCGUGAUUGGGAUCGGAGAUUGCAAUUAUUUUCCGUGAACGAGGAAUUCCAAGUAAGUGCGAGUCAUCAGCUCGCGUUGAUUACGUCCCUGCCCUUUGUA